AUGAAAGUUCCCUGGUUCUGUCACAACAGGAAUUUGAUGGCUUAGGCAGCAUGGAGUCUUCAUCUAUUUCACACAUUUUAAGGCGAUAUGGAUUUCCUGACACAUGUAUAAAGCUAUUUAGAAGGAAAAUAAAUGCUCAAAACAAAAUGUAAGUAAUAGAGAUUUGUCAUUUUUGAAAUAAUAAAAAUCGGCUUCAUUGCUAAGUAUGGUAAAUAUAUUACUGAAAAUCAAAUUCCUUUUCUUUUUAACACGUUACUUACAUAUACAUUCUUGGCCUUUCAAAACACACUAUUGUUCUCUAGUAAUGGUUUACAUUCUACUUUUUUCUCUGUCACUGCUCUAUUGUGUCCCUCUUAAUAUGUGUAAAUAAUGGUGCCUGCCCGGUCCUCUCAUAUUCUGCAGAUGUUAUAGGGGAACUGCAGGACUGCAUUUAAGGAAACAGUCAGAGAGAAUAGAAGGCUUUGAGCAUAUUGAAUAAACUACAGAAAUUAUUUUCAGGCUGUGGUAGCGUCAAUGAGACAUGGAAUAACUGUACUUAUUCUAUGUACUGUGCACUCAUUGAGACCUUGCUGUUAUAUUGUGGUGGGAUUCUCAGAAAUAAGAACCUGUUUUACAUACAGUGCUAAAACAUAACUUUUAUUAAUAAUUUGAAAUAUAAAACAUCAAAUUUAAACCUUAAAAUCACAAUAGGAAUAAGGAUUCUAAAAAGGCUGCUAGAAAUUGUUCAAAUUAAAUUGUUCAAGUUAUAUGAAAUAUUAUAGUUCUGGAAGAUAUUUAUUGUUAGGGGUUACCCCUCCUGUUUUCCCUUAGCACAUUGUACGACUAGCUCUUACUUUUUUCUUGGGAUGUCUAAAAAAAAUAAAAUACUUUUUGACAAAAAUGGCAAUUUCUGCAUUCCACUUAAUGUUUAAAAUGGUGCAACAUUGGGUACAUAAUGUGAUUUUUAAAACUUGUUACCCCUCAAUAUUUCUGUAAAGGAUGAAUGAAAAAUUAAAAAGUUACAUUAAUUUUCAUUUUAAGUAGUUCUAGCAAACAUAUGCAUGAAAUGCAUUCUGUGUUUGAAAUAAAUGCUGAGCCAUGUUUUUCUAAUGAUAACAGCUUGACAGGGAAGGGUUAAUUGAAGUUAAUGUUCAAAGAGGUUAGGGUAAAGGGGAGCAAAGGUUAGUGAGGAUUAAUGUCAGAGUUAGUUUACAGAGAGUGUUAAGAUGAUUUUUAAAUCUUGAAAGGGGUUAUAGUUGUGGAUCCAAUGAUUAUUUGGGUUUAGGGUUAGAAUGGGGUUACAUACAAUGUGGUUCAAUAGUACGUUUGAGUUUUAACAGUUGAACCAAGAUUUAAGUUAAGGGCUUAGUCAUUGAGUGCUUACAUUGGGGAUUAAGUAAAUAGUUUUUUUAGGUUUUGGAUUUAAGCUAAAGUUAGAUUUAGAGCAACAUGCGGCAUUUAGGUUACAGGCAUGUGGAGUUAGAAAGGUUAUUCCCAAGUAAUCAGCCUCUUAUGAUUGAUGGUAAAAUAGAAGGAACAGUUAUACAGGGUGAAUCACUUGGUGCUGUCCUUGCUCCUCCUACAAGGCAUUCCCAUUCCAUUACCAAGACCGUUGCCCACCAAUAAAAGACUGGAAACACAUUUGUUGAUAAGGGAAAAAGGCAAUAGCUUUAUUUAAACUAUGUAACAAUUUUAUAAACAACCUGUCAGCUGUUGGGUGUUUAGCCCAAUAGACAGUUCUCCUCCCACCUAAUUGCCAUUAGCUCUAACAGCCGGCACUUGCCAUCGGCCUCGUCCAGACUGUAGUCUCUCCAAACUAACUCCACAUCUCACUCUUUUCUGUGGCUGCACUGUCCAGGAAUCCCACCAGCUGUGACAAAGCACAACACUAGGGAAAAAAACACCACACCAAUACCAUAACCAGGUAGGGAAAGUGGGGAAGUCAGUCAGGAUCCAUCAACUUCUCCUGCUGACUGAUGAGUUCCCACCCCCCAACAUUUCCUUAAAAGUUUGCAACUAUGCAUCUUCUUAAUUCUAGCCUACUAUGCAUGGGUGUCCAGGGAAAUACUUUUCCUGUGUGAAAAGCUGUUAGUGGACAAAUGGGAAGUGAUUUCUUCAUCUUCAUGUCCAGGCUCAUGCAUAUACACUGGAUACUACCAUAUCACACCAUCUUUAACAGUUUAUGUAGCUCUGCUAUCAUAACUAGAUGACUCACUGGCCAAGGCUCCUAGCAUUUAGUAUGGGGUACUGAAAAAUGCACUACACAUGUAUGUUUGUGUGAUGGGUGCUGUGUAUGUGAGAGGGGUGCUUUGUGUGUUAGAGAGUAGCUGUGUUUGUGAGAGAGGUGCUGUGUUUGUGACAGGGGUGCUGUGUGUGAGGGGGGUGCUGUUUGUGAGAGGGGUGCUGGGUGUGUGAGGGAUUCUGUGUGUGUUUGUGUGUGAGAGGGGUGCGCUGUGUGUGAUAGGGGUGUGCUGUGUGUGAGAGGGGUGUACUGUGUGUGAGAGGAUUGCUGUGUGUGAAAGGGGGGCUGUGUGCAAAAGGGGGGCUGUGUGCAAAAGGGGGGCUGUGUGUGAGAGGGGUGUUGUGUGUGUGAGCAGACAUCCCAACAUGAAAAAUCUCAUUUCAAGGAGAUGGCGGUACCAGCAACUGCACCCCCACACACCCACCCCAACACAUACGCGCCCUUUAAUGCACACAUACACACAGCCACCAAACAUGUAUAAACAAUGACAUGAUAUUUUAUUAUGACAGAACACAACUAGUUACAUAUUACAACUAUUUACACACACUAUUAACACACAGACUCAUGCACACACCUGACUGAUACACAGUUAUGGACACUGUCACAUACGCACACAGUCACACACACUCAGAUACAUGCUGACAUACAGAUACACACACACUCAACUACACACAGAUACACAGACUGGUAUUUACACACACACACACACACACACACUAAGAUACACUCACUGGCACAUGCUUACAUACAUAUAGAUAUACACACUGAAACAUACACACUCACUCAGAUAAACACAUAUACACACACCUGCACAUAUACACACACAGAUACACACUGAAACUCAAGCUCUGCUAUCAUGACUAGAUGACUCACUGGCCAAGGCUCCUAGCAUUUUGUAUGGGGUAUUGAAAAAUGCAAUACACAUUACAUUUAUAUUACAUUUACCCUUCAAGGACAAAUGAAUUGAGGUUCUUGCAUUGGGUGUACCAAUAGUUUUGUCUUUCUAAUGGUGUUAAACUUAGAGAAUUCAUACUUUAAUUUUAUAAUGCAUUUCUUACAUUAUCAUAUGGUUUUGUUUGUUAAUGUUCUAAAUAUCAGAGCGAGAAUACCUUUUUGUUGUUGCAAUGUUUGCAGUUUUUGAUGUAUUGAGAUUGUACACUGGUAUAUUUUACAUAAAGAUAAAUAAUGGAUGUUUGGGAAUGUAAAUAGAGAUAUAGAAAUAAACAAUAUGUUGAAAGAGUGGAAGACAUGACAGUCAUCCAAUUUUCAAUUAAUGUAAUAGAACAUCACUAGCACAUUCCUAUUUCACAUAUUUGGUAGACUACACAGUGCCAUCUUAACAACAUUAUGGGUCCCUUUGCAAAGCAGUGCACUAGGACACUGCCUACACAACCAGUCACAGGAAUAAAAAUUAAAAUUAUUGAUAAAAUUAAGCAUAUAUUUAUUGGUACCUUCAACAAAUGCAAUAUUCACACAAUACAAACACACAGACUGCUGAAUACACACACGGACUGCUGAAUACACACACACAGACUGCUGAAUAAAUGCUGAAUACACACAGGCUGUUGUAUACACAUACAGGCUGCUGAAUACAUACACACAGACUGCUGAAUACACACACAUGCACUGCUGAAUACACACACACACACACACAAAAUGCAGAAUACACACAGACUGCUGAAUAAACACACCGGCUCCUGAAUACACACACACUGCUAAAUACACACACACGGACUGGUGAAUACACACACGGACUGCUGAAUACACACAGGCUGCUGAAUACAUACACACAUACUGCAUAAUACACACAGGCUGCUUCAUACACACACAGGCUGCUGAAUAAAUACACAUAGACUACUGCAUAGGCACACAGACUACUGAAUACACACACACAGACUACUGCUAAGUACACACACUCGGACUGCUGAAUACACACACACAGACUGCUGCAUACACACAGACAGACUGCAGAAUACACACAGGCUGCUGAAUACAUACACACAGAAUACUUAAUACAUACACACAGACUACUGAAUACACACACAGACUGCUGAGUACACACACACAGACUACCGAGUACAAACAGACUGCUAAAUGCAUAAACAGACUGCUUAAUACACACACACACACACACACACACAUACAUGCUGCUGAAUACAUGCACACUGCUGAAUACAUACACACAACAGUGCUGACUACAUGCAUGCAGACUGCUGAAUACAUGUACACAGACUGCUGAAUACAUAACCAUAGUCCUUAACAUACACACACAGACUGCUGAACACACACACAGACUGCUAAACACACACACACACACACACAUACAAACUGCUGAAUACACACAGGCAGAAAGCAGUGAGGGGUGCUGUUUGUGUGUGAGUGCUGCUAUAUAUGUUGUGUGAGGGGUGCAGUGUGUGUGUGAGGAGUGCUGUGUGUGUGGGGUGUCCUGUGUGUGUGAAGGGUGGUGUGUGAGUGAGAUGCUGUGUGUGAAGGGUGCUGUGUGUGUGUGAAGGGUGCCGUGUGUUUGUGUGAUGGGUACUGUGUAUGUGUGUCUGUGUGUGAGGGGUGCUGUGUAUAUGAGAGGGGUGCUGUGUGUGAGAGGAGUGCUAUGUGUGUGAGAGGGGUGCUGUGUGCGCGAGGGGUGCUGUGUGUGUGAAGGGUGCUGUGUAUGUGAGAGGGGUACUGUGUAUGAGAGGGGUGCUGUGUGUGUGAGCAGACAUCACAACAUGCAAAAUCUCAUUUCAGGGAGGUGGCUGUACCAGCAACUGCACCACCAUGCAUGCACCCCAACACAUGCACACAUGUGCGCCUGCACAUAUACGCCCCCCAAAAUGCACACAUACACACAGCCACCAAACAUGUGACAGAACACAACUAGUUACAUAUUACAACUAUUACACACACUAUUGACACACGGACUCAUGCACACACCUUGACACACAGUUACAGACACUGUCAUAAACACACACAGUCACACACACAGUUAUGGACACUGACGUACAGAUACACAAACCCACUCAAAUACACACAGAUACACAGACUGGUAUAUACACUACACUCACUGGCACAUACACAUACUUACAUACAUACAGAUACACACACUGACAGAUACACACUCACUCAGAUACACACUGACACACAGAUACACACACCUGCACAUAUACACCCACAGAUACACACUGAAAUUUAGAUACACACUGACAUACAGAUACACACACUUGCAUACACACACACACACACACACACAGAUUACACUGACACACACACUAGCACAUACACAGAUAUGCACAAGGUAUAUUAAUUAUUAAUGUCCUGGCUGAGGCUGAUGGGAGCUCCAGCCUCUCCUCUGCCUCCAUGCUGCCUAUGUGCUCCAGCCUCCUUCUCCUCAUUGUCCCUCCUGCGUGGCUGUCUUUUUAGCUGGGAGGAAGUGACAGGUUCUCUAUCACUUCCUCCCAGCCGGCAGAUACUGCAUGUGUCCGGUCAGGCUCUUAAAGGGCUGGGGCACUCGACCGAGUCCCUGCUCAGAAAUAAUAUUAAUUGGAUGGGUAAUCUUAAUAUAUGCUAAGUGUCCUUAAUUUAUUGAGGGCAUUUAGCAUAUAUAACAGCCUGGAAAUCACACUCAACUUGAUAUAUAUUGUAUGUCAGAUUGUGUAUGAUUUCUGGGAUAGUGUUUGACACUUGAGGGGGUCAGCGAGUCACACUACAAAAGUGUGAGUCUCCCGGACCUCCCGGAAGACUUGGGAUGUCUGGCAUGAGAGAGGUGCUGUGUGUGUGUGAGGGGUGCUAUGUGUGUGAGGGGUGCUGUGUGUGUGUGUGUGUGUGUGUGUGUGUGAGAGGGGUGCUCUGCGUGUGUGUGAGGGGUUCUGUGUGUGUGUGUGUGUGUGUGUGUGUGUAAGGGGUGCUGUGUGUGAGGGGUGCUGUGUGUGUGAGGGAUGCUCUGUGUGUGUGUGAGGGGUGCUGCGUGUGUGUGAGAGGUGCUCUGUGUGUGGGGGGUGCAUAAGAAAAAGGGAUUUUUUGUUUGUUAUUUUUAUCUAUAAAAGAAAAGCUUUAUGUCCCUCCUCAGUGCCCCCAUCCUUCUUCUUACCUUCAGUGGGAGGGGAGGACACUGGUGAGUAGUAUAGAUCUACAGCAUGCAGCUCCUCUGGCUUCAGGCUAUCUUCAUUCUUCUUUUUUUCUGCGAGCAGAAUGUUGUGUCGGAGCAUUGCCAUGGCAAUGUGAGGCAACGCUCUGACCAGCAUGCUGGCGGGAGGACCUGCCUCCCAGGUCCUCUCUCCCUCCCUCCCUCCCUCCUUCCCUCCCUCCCUCCUUCCUUCUCUCUAACGAAUGGCAUUUUUGCCGGUGUGGGAGAACUUUGAGCUGCCAACUGGCCUGAGAGGGUUCAAAAACAAAUAAGCAAGACCCGUUCCCCCCUAUCGACCCAGUACAUGGGCAAUGCUGUGGAGUCCAUAUGCUUGUGGGGGCCCCGGGCAAGUGCCCAGCGUGCCCAUGCGGAAAGACGGACCUGAGACUACAUUGUUGAAACUGGUUGUUUGUCAAUCAUAAUAACUAUUCACACAAUUCUCCAUAUUGGUGAAUUUGAGAAGUGUGUUGUUAGUCAAUAUUCUUGUAAUUCCUGUUGAUCAGUGAUCUCUUUUUGAUAAUAAAUGUUUGAAAAGGGCUCCACUGUGCAACAUAUUCAAACUUCUUUAGUGCUUUCAGAUAACAGGUAUACAGAUGAUUUAAUUACAAUGUUAAGACACUUGUGCCAGCUAGAAUACAAUUUUAUGUCUUUUUUUAUUAUAUUCGUAGAGUCAGUCUCUUCAUGUUACCAUGUUUUCAAUUUUCUUCCUCGAGUACCUCAAUAGACGUGUUGCCUCUUUAGCAAAUCAAUAAAUAGACCAGAUAAUACUUGGCUGAUACUGCUGAGAAUGACCUAACCACAAAACUGUUUUUGUAAUUUAAUUUAUUUAGUGCAGUUGAUCAUUGCAGCAAAAUAAAUUAAAUGAUUGCAUAAUACCUAAGCUUCUAGCUUCUCCUUUAGUUAAUCGUGUAUUUUAAUUGUAUAUUAUAUUCUCCAAGUUAAUGAUUAUGCAGCUAAAUGUGGAUUUUUGUCAGUGGAGCAGAGUUUUAAAUGUCUUAAUUGUGUAUUGAGCACAUAGAGAUUCAGUAUCUUUUUUAAGAUUUACAUUACAGAAUAAAUUAACAUUAGUUUCUGUUUGCAGGCAAACAAAACAAAAAUAAAAUACACUGAGUUUAAAUGACUGGUCGACACUAAUUCAUUCUGAGUAUUACCAGAGAUAAUAAACAUACAUUGCAUGUGCAUCCAAUUAAGCUACAGAUACCAAUUAGCAAACAGCUAAUGUGCAUUAUGUAUUGUGAGACAGAUCUCUGUUGAAUAUGAGCAACUUAGUGCCUUGUAGAAUGUCCACUCAGAUUUUAAUUGUCAAUAAACAAACUUUUGUAUCUCUGUGCAAACAAUCUUAGAAGAUCAUUUGGACAUGAUAGAGGAAAAUUCAGGAUUAAAGUAAAACGUACAGUAAAUAAUUUUACAAAGUCUUUUAAAUUUAUUAUGCAUAAUAGAUUUAAAGGUCACUUGUCAGUAGAGUGAAACGUGUUUACAUUUAUAAUGCCACACACAGUCUUCAUAUAGAACAGAAGAAGUAAAAGCACAAGUUGAGUUAUUUAGUACACAUUGAAAUGUUUAUGUUUUGUGGUCCAUCAAACAAUUUUUCUACUUCUGUUAUUUUUUUAGUUUUAACUAUUCAAAAAUACUUAAAGAGGGCAGUGUUAUCAUUGUGGCAAAUGACAGAGAAAGGAAACAGAGAAUCAUUGCAAAUUAAGUAUGAAUGAAAAAGGACAGAACAGCACUCACAUAAAUUUGGAUAUGAUGAGAAUAGUACAAGAACAGGGCACACUUUCCAGAAUAAGAUAAAAGGAUUUUGUUUUAGGGAAAAAAAACUCUCAAUACUGGAACACAAUCAAGGAACACCUCCUGGACAGCUCACUAAGAAUGCAGCUUCAAAAUGGAUGCUGUCCAGGAGGUGGGAAGGAGGGUCUACUGCUGAUUGGCUGGAAUGUGUCUGCUGACUGUGAGGUACAGGGUCAAAGUUUACUCAAUGAUGAGUCCGCGAUGAACCGUUCGUGGCGAACCAUUCGCGAACCGUUCGGUGAACCGUUCGGUGAACCGUUCGUGACAUCACCACCCAAAAUGUUCUCACAACCAUAUUGCUGGCAAAGCACCAAGGGAGUUUUAGUCCACAACAUGUGGAAUGUUGAAGUUUGCCUACCCCUGCCCCACAGUCUGGUAAUUAUAACUUGAGUAUAAAUGAUGGUGAGUUGGACUUUAUGAUUAAAUUUCAUACUGAAAAAUACAUAUGAAAAUAAAAGCAUUUAUAGUUAAGGUGUUCAAUGGGUGAACGGUAACCUAAUCUUUACAUUGCACCUACCUUGUGUUGAGAAAGGUUAACAUAUAUAUGAUAAAAAGACCCGAAGUGAAAGAGCUUUAGUACAGUAUGUAUGCAAUGCUAAAUGAUAAAUAUUAAUGAGUUUACUUUUAGUCAUUGCCAAAAAUUAUGUUGUAUGCAAUUUUAUGUGGCCUGCUGAUAAAUAUAAAAUUAUUUUUAAUAACAAAUAUAUUUACCUUCUUUAUUUUCCACAGCGCGGAAAAGGAUAUGCUAGUCAAAUCUACAGGACUUACCUGAAGCAGCAUGAUUUGCACAAGUUGACCAACAAAAGCAUCAACUUUUCAACUUCAUUAUCUUGGCUAUCAAUCUCGGUAUUAUUGAAGGAUUAUUAGUCUGCUGCUGAAGACAUGGCCAAUAUUAGGACCUUACUGCUCUCAGCAGGCCUGAGAAAUGAGUUGAAAUGUGAAGAAGAACUGUAGAAACUGGAGAGGCAACCGAACUUGCCUCCAUUAUCAGUGUGUGCCUGUUUACAGCACUAUAUAUCUUUCUUUCUCCAAAAUGUCACUGAGCCCUUUAGAUGUUUCUAUUCACCACAAGAAGCCAAUCGUACAAAUAGAACGUGCAUUAUAAAUGCAAUAUCACUGUUUUAAACUUGACUGUUUUAUAUUAUUUUGUGUGAUCAAGUGUUUCCCAAAUUAUCUAAACUUUACAAGACAGAUUGUGAUCAUGUUAUUUUCACCAGUGGGUCAUCAAAAUGUUGUUUAUCUACUGACCCACAAAAUAUCAAAGACAUUCUGUAGUUUAUACACCGUGUUGCAAAGUGUUUACUGUACUAUUUCAAAGCUUCUAAAUAAAUAUAAAGUAUAUAUUAUAUUAUAUAAUUUUCUGAAAAAGUGGUACAGUUAGUUCAUUUAUAAAUUGAUUCAUACAGACCACACUAUAAACACCAACCAACAAGUCAGGUCCUAAAUAAUUUAUCGUUUGACAUAAUUCUUGAAUAAUGUUUCGUAAUAAUAAAACUGGACCAAUUACUGUUCACCCUUUAAAAAAACAAAAAAAAAAGCUGUAAGCUACAUCAAUUUGUACGGACCUUUCAAUACCAAAGAUGCAGCUUUCCAGAUUGAGCACUAUGACCUAUUGAGGCAUAUUUUGAUCUUCCUUAUUUUAACUCUGUGGCUUUUAAUUUUACUAUUACAAAUAAGUUUUAUAAAAAAAUGAAUUGAUCUGUAUAUGUUGUUAAAACACAACGCUGGAUACUCUGUACAGUUUGAAAUUGUAAAAUAUGUAUCUGAAGAUUACUAUUUUGAAAGAUUAGCCCCAAAUCAUAUAACUUAACACGUAUCUUUCUCUAGCAUAGUUUUGUGGAAACUUGAAAAAUAUAUAUAUCUUCUAAUCCUGCCUAGAAAUGUUUUUUAAUAGACAAAUCAUGAAACAUAGUGUUUUCCAAUUCAUUUUUUACACAGCAAAAUUUAGGACCAUUUCACAUUAUUAAACACUUCAAUAUUAUCUGUGUCUAUGAUAAUAUUUUUUUUCAUGAUUUAAAUUGUAAUAUAUAUACAUAUAUAUAAAUAUAUGAAGAGG